rnacentral:misc_RNA from 1 species
CGGGAUGGGCGAACAGAAGUCAGCCGAGGCCGUAGUAGUUGCUCGAAACUGGAGUGACGAAGGGC